UGCUCCUUGUCAGCUAAUAUACAAAAUGGGAAGAAUUCAAAGAAAAUUAGCAAGGCCCUGGGCAAGAAUGAUGAUAAAUUUGUGAACUGCUCAGUAUUUCU
rnacentral:snRNA from 1 species